ensembl:lncRNA
AUGUGUGACUUAGGGAAGUACAGUAGAGGGCUAAGCAUGCUGGGUGUAAAUCGAAUAGCUUUAGACCACCAAGCUCAGACCAGUAGUAGGAUAGCUAUACUGUUCACACAGACCAGUAGUAGGAUAGCUAUACUGUUCACACAGACCAGUAGUAGGAUAGCUAGACUGUUCACACAGACCAGUAGUAGGAUAUCUAGACUGUUCACACAGACCAGUAGAGGGAUAGCUAGACUGUUCACACAGACCAGUAGUGGGAUAUCUAGACUGUUCACACAGACCAGUGGUGGGAUAGCUAGACUGUUCACACAGACCAGUAGUGGGAUAUCUAGACUGUUCACACAGACCAGUAGUGGGAUAGCUAGACUGUUCACACAGACCAGUAGUGGGAUAGCUAGACUGUUCACACAGACCAGUAGUGGGAUAUCUAGACUGUUCACACAGACCAGUAGUGGGAUAGCUAGACUGUUCACACAGACCAGUAGUGGGAUAUCUAGACUGUUCACACAGACCAGUAGUGGGAUAUCUAGACUGUUCACACAGACCAGUAGUGGGAUAGCUAGACUGUUCACACAGACCAGUAGUAGGAUAGCUAUACUGUUCACACAGACCAGUAGUGGGAUAGCUAGACUGUUCACACAGACCAGUAGUAGGAUAUCUAGACUGUUCACACGGACCAGUGGUGGGAUAGCUAGACUGUUCACACAGACCAGUAGUGGGAUACCUAGACUGUUCACACAGACCAGUGGUGGGAUAGCUAGACUGUUCACACAGACCAGUAGUGGGAUAUCUAGACUGUUCACACAGACCAGUAGUGGGAUAGCUAGACUGUUCACACAGACCAGUAGUGGGAUAGCUAGACUGUUCACACAGACCAGUAGUGGGAUAUCUAGACUGUUCACACAGACCAGUAGUGGGAUAGCUAGACUGUUCACACAGACCAGUAGUGGGAUAUCUAGACUGUUCACACGGACCAGUAGUGGGAUAUCUAGACUGUUCACACGGACGCAAGCAAGCAUCUCCCAACCUUUUGGAGCAUCUGCAAGGCUUUUAAAUUGA